CCUCUUAAGACCUAAGACUGGAACUAGCACAGCAUCAGUGCAACCAAGUUCUAUCAGUCAAAGAAAAUCAUGAAACAAACCGAGAUUCAUGGUUCAAGGGGAGAAAAAUGGAUUUCACCACCCAGUGGGAAGAGGCGCACAGGUGUGCGGGGAUGAGAGAAAUCUGUGGCAAGCACUUCUGCAGACUCUCCGCCACAGCGGGCAUACUCACUCAGCUCCCAGCAUGUCUGCUAUGAGAGAAGCCUAGCAGCAGAAAUGCCACAGUCAGUAGUAUAAUUAUAUCUGCAUUAUACAGAUGAAGAAAAGAAAUGAAGGCCUGGGGAUUUGCCCAAGUUCACAUUGCCAAGAAGUGAUGGAUGAGCAUUUUGAACCCAGGCCUGAUUCCAAGGCCCAAGCCCUUGCCCGUGAAGCUGGUCUGCCUUCCAUGGCCUGUGAUGAAGUCUCCAAGUCUGGAGCCGAGCAACCGAGUCUCUCUCCAACCUGUGUAUUCAUGAAAAGCCACAGACCAGAGGGAUAAGCGAGUGUAGGGCUCCCCGUGUCCUUUGUGAGGCUGAAGAAAGAACUGGUCCAGAUCAUGUAAUCCACACUCAAGAAGAUGUGACAAGGAAUACAUACAGCAAUAAAAAAAAAAAGAAAAGCAAACGCCUGACAGGACAAUGCAGGGAAACCUCACAGACAAUGUUGGGCAAAAGAAGACAGUCACAGAAGUGCACAUGCUGUAUGAUUCUAUUUAAGUGAAGUUCUAAAACGGACGAAGCCGAUCCUACGGUGACAAGGUCAGGAGGGUGAGGACCUUUGGGGAAGCCUCCCAUGGUGACAGAAAUGGCUCAGAUCUUGAAUUGUGUGGCAGUUACCCAGGUGGGCAUAUAUGUAAAAAUUCAUCAAGCUGCAUGCUAAAGAUUUGAGCCUUUUAUAGUACUUCCAAUAAAUAUGAAAGAUGCAAAGAAAGUGGAGAAAA